CCUACGGGCGGCAGCAGUAGGGAAUGUUGCGCAAUGGGCGAAAGCCUGACGCAGCAACGCCGCGUGAAUGAGACGCACUUAGGGGUGUAAAGAUCUGUUAGUGGGGACGAAAGAGGACGGUACGCACAGAGGAAGCAACGGCGAACGCCGUGCCAGCAGCCGCGGUAAUACGGAGGGUGCAAGCGUUGUCCGGAAUCAUUGGGCGUAAAGAGUUCGUAGGCGGUAUGUUAAGUCUGGUGUUAACUGCAGAAGCUCAACGUCUGUUCGGCACUGGAUACUGGCAAACUAGACUGCGGUAGAGGUAACGGGAAUUCCUGGUGUAGCGGUUAACUGCUUCGAUAUCAGG
rnacentral:rRNA from 1 species